UUUCGAAUCAUCCACAAUGGGCGAAAGCCUGAUGGUGCGACGCCGCGUGAGGGAUGAAGGUCCUCGGAUUGUAAACCUCUGUCACCAGGGAGCAAAAACUAGACUCAUACUCUAGCUUGAGUUAACCUGGAGAGGAAGUAGUGGCAAACUCCGUGCCAGCAGCCGCGGUAAUACGGAGACUACGAGCGUUACUCGGAUUUACUGGGCGUAAAGGGUGCGUAGGCGGUCAGAUGUGUUAGGUGUGAAAGCCUGGGGCUUAACUCCAGAAUUGCGCCUAAAACUAUCUGACUCGAGCCUCGGAGAGGCAAGCGGAAUUCCUAGUCGUAGCAGUGAAAUGCGUAGAUAUUAGGAGGAACACCGAAGGCGAAGGCAGCUUGCUGGACGAGAUCUGACGCUGAAGCACGAAAGCGUGGGGAGCAAAAGGGAUUAGAUACCCCAGUAGUCCCUGAGCGGGCUGGCAAGGCGCAU
rnacentral:rRNA from 1 species